GUUGGGUGGGUGUCCAAAAUCUGCUGCACCAGGUGUUCUACAGAGAACUCUUCUGUUCCAUUCCCGCAGCUCCACUUGAUGCCAUGAACUAGAGAAGUUAGGGGGAAGUGCUGUGGGAUCCCCACGAAACAGGCCCCAGAGUACCUUGAUGGCUCCUCCAAGCACCUGACAUGCUUCAAGACUUCUGGCCAGACGCUGCCAACUCCAUCCCCCAGGGAUUGUGAAGGGGGUUCCUUCUGGCUGUGACAGUGCUGAACGAGGCCAGAGAGUGCAGCUGCCUGGAGGCACAAGCCUCCUCCUGAUCCAGGGGGCUCCAGGGAGACCAAAGCAGCUGUCAAGAUGAGAGAAAUUGAAAAAGAAAAUGGAAAACUCUCCAGCCUGGCUCUCAGCUUCUGCAUCUCCAUGCAAGACCAGAGACCCACAUCACUCCCUCACUCCACCCAGUUCCACUCCAACAAUACCUGGGCCCUGCCAGGAGUGAGAAAACGGUCCUCUUCCUGUGGAUAGGUUGCUCUCUCCUCUUCCAGAUCAGGGUAUUCAUUGGUGCUGGGGAAUCCACAGCCCUCUUCGCCAAGCACCACUGGCUCAGAUGCAGCCCCAGAGCUGCCCCACUGGGCCUUCUUCAGUCUGUGGAGACUUUAGGCUGAGGAGAGAAGUGCCUGGAGGCCAGGCUUCCUGUCUCUCCAUUCUUCACCUUUCUGUUCUGAAAUACUUCCUGCUGGGACUCCAGGGAGUUGUCAUUUGACCUUUAACCCUCCACUCCCAAUUUUCUGCUCCCCUCAGACUGAAGCAUAUUGUCUAGGAACCCAGAGGUGACCCCAACCUCCCCACUGUCCUCCAGUUCUAUGGUUUGCUUUCCUGUCUUCAGUGAUCUAGUUUCCACUCCUUCCAGCUCAUGUGGCUCAUCCUCCUUACUGCAGUUCCCUCCUUCUUUCCAUAUUACAGAAAUCUGUUUCAAUCACACCAAAGCCCACAGCUUCCUUCCAAGCAACCUCCCCUCAAAGCUCCCCUCAAACCUCCCCUCAAAGCUGUCAACCCCUUCCUUAGCUCAAACUGUUCUGCCCCCAAAUCCUGCAUGACUCCCAGAACCCAGAUGUCUCCCUUCCUUACUCGUUGAUGAUGCUCUGACGCCUUCUUAGGUCCUCCAGGUGGUAAGUGACAGCCCUCACCCGGGCGGGGACUCCCCCAAGGCCCUGCUGCUGCAUUCCUUCCAAACAUGGCCUCCUCUUCUUUCUUCUCCAAAGCAUUUCAGGGGGUGGGAGCUGCUCAGGAGGAUACAGACCAAGCUGGGAGCAACCAGUGGCUCUCUGUGCCAGAGAAUGGGGAAAAAGAGCUAGAAAGAAGAACUGGCUCUCUCAAGGGAGCUUGGAUUGAACUAGGUAGGGAGUCUGGGGUCUUGGGAAGACCCCUGUGAUCUCGAAAACAUGAUGACUGAUUCAUAGAAAGGAAGGCCUGGUCAGUGCACUGGUUGGGGAAUAACAGAGGGAAGCGGUAAUAAGGAGAGCUUGGGACAGGACAGCAGUGGGUGCAAUUUUAACAGAGAAAUGUUAAACGGCAGAGGGUCUGUCUUACCAGCAUGGGUGGAAUGUGCUGCUCCUCCAGCCAAGUGGGGCUGUGAAGAACAAAAAGGGGGCUAUAAGUGCAGAGGGGACAUGUCCAUCCAUAUUGCUUCUUUAAUAAUCUCUCCCGACCUCCUUUCUGUCAUUAGGAGCUACAAUGUCCACCAGCCAGUGGGAAAUUAACCGCAGACUAGGGCCUAUUGCUAUAUGGGUUUAUGGUAGUUUAAUCCAGUUAAGACCACAUCCAGUUAGUUUCCAUUUUCUCCUCUACUCACGUGGGCCUUUGAUUAAGGUUCUUCCAGAAGACAUCUCCAUAACGCUGGGGCAUGGGUCUGAGGCUCUGGGAAGGCAACCUUGGGGGUGGAGAUCGGCUGACCACCCUGGAACACCUGAGGUGAGGACAAGGUAGGCUCGGGUCUGGCUCUUCCCUUACAGCAGUCUACUCAUCCCAAGGAUUCAGGGGCCAUCUUUCCAUGGGACUAUAAAGCUGCCCAGGUUCCCUCGGGCCAUGUCCUCUCUUAACCACUUUAGCUGAAGAAGGUGGUAAGGCCUCUGCUUUGAAAGGAAAUUGAAGCUGGGUUGAGGGUGGAGAUUGGCUAUAGUUUGACCCUCAGAUCUCACUGAGUUUAAGCUCUAUAUCGGGGAUGUCCAAUCUUUUGGCUUCCUGGGCCACA
rnacentral:lncRNA from 1 species